rnacentral:lncRNA from 1 species
UUUUUUUUUUUUUUUGGUCACAAUAGCUCCUGGGCCAGAGAUCGAACUCCUGCUACAGCAGAGACUUGAGCCACAGCAGUGACAACACUGCAUCCUUAACCCACUGAGCCACCAGGGAAAUCCUGGAUCACCCAUCAAACCACCUCCCAAAGGCCCUCCUCCUAAUACUAUCGCACUGGGAAUUAGGCUUGAACAUAUGAAUUAGAGAGGUAGGGGAGACACAUUCAGUCUACGGCACAUAUGUUUUCAUAUUUUCUGGCCCAGUUUUGGUCACCUAAGAGCUGCAUAAUAAAUACUUGAUGGUUGAUUGUUAAUUAUAUUGUAUAAAGGUUUGCACAACACACCUUUAUUUGUUUAUUCAGUAAACAUCCAUUUGAGAAAACCUAUAAUGAGGCAGGCGUUGUUGUAGGCACAAGGAGACACCAGUAACCAGGACACACCUGGUCUCCUGCCUGUUUGCCUGCCUGCCUGGAGCACAUGUUCAGAAUUAUUUAUCAUCAUCCUUUUGGUGCCAGCAAUGAAAAGUGUUCCUAGAUUAUGCAAUUCUAUUGAGUCUAUAUAUAAAGUCAGUUGUUGCUUUAAAACUGUGCAAACAGUGGGGGUUCCCAUCGUGGUGCAAAGGAAAUGAAUCCUACCAGGAACCAUGGGGUUGCGGGUUCGAUCCCUGGCCUCGCUCAUGGGUUAAGGAUCUGGUGUUGCUGUGAGCUAUGGUGUAGGUCACAGACGCGGCUUGGAUUCCGAAUUGCAGUAACUGUGGUAGUAGGCUGGCAGCUACAGCUCCAAUUCGGCCUCUAACCUGGGAACUUCCAUAUGCCACAGGUGUGGCCCUGAAAAGACCAAAAAAAAAUUUUUUUUUCCUUGAAAUUUCACUUAAUCUUCUUCUAUCAGUUCCACACAUUCUACAGUGUGCCUUAUUGGCAGAAGUUGUAUCUUUACAACGGUGGUUCUCACGCUUUUUGACCUUAAGACCUCCUUAUACUCUUAAAAUUAUUAGAACACCAAAGAGCUUUGGUUUAUGUGAGUUAUAGCACUAUAGUUAUUUGCACUACUGUAAAAUUUUAAAAAUACUUUUAAAAUUACUCCAAAGCAAUAAUAAAUUCAUUGCAUGUUCACAAAAUGACAUAUUUUUAUGAAGAAUAGCUAUGGUUUUCCAAACCUGAAACAUUUUGUGAAAAAAUGGCAUUGUUUUACAUUUUUGAAAAUCCCUUUAACAUCAGGCUUAAUAUCAUUUCAAUAUUUAAGAGCUGGAUUCUCACAUCUCCUUCUGCAUUCACUCUGUUGUAAUAUGUUGUUUUAGUUUAAGUAUGUGAAAAAAAACCUGGCUUCGUACAUAUAUGUGCUUGGAAAAGAGAAGAGAAUUUUCAUAGCCUUUUCAUAUAAUGGUGGCUAUUCCCCUUUGAAACCUCACCAAAAGUAGACAAGUAGCAUAGCAAUUUCUUAAGUUCAGUGUAGUAUGGACUCUGAAAUGGUUUCAGUGAAAUUUCCCUACUCAGUUAUAUUAAUACCUUGGUCUAUAAUGCACUUUCAAUGGAUCUUCUGUCCAUAGUCUUACAUAAUUUUAUAACAUCAUGCAUUGACAAUUUGGAAAAUAUUGGUUCACUGAGCUGUGGACAUUUUCCAAAUGUUGACACAUGUCAUUAUACAACCUCAACAAAUCACAUUCGUUAACAUCAGCACCAAUCUUAUCUCAAAAAAAUCUUUAAGUAUUGGGAUAUUGUCGAGCUUAUGAUGCCCGGUUCAAGAUUUUAUAAAAAGCUAAUAUUUUAAAAACUCAAAAGAAACAAAUAUUAAUGGUUGGUUUUCCUUGGUGUGACAAGCUCAUUUGGUUCAUUUUCAAGAAUAUGCCUGCCAAGCUGUCAAGUCUGAAUAACCCAGUUGCCAGUUGUUCUUUCAAGUAAAAAUUGUGUUCCAUAGAGAAAGCAGUUGGUUCAGCUCACCACUCAAACGAUGGUGCAAGAGCUUUUCCUGGAGAUAACUGUGGUAGUUGGAUACACAGCAGAAGUGCUUCAUAUGAAAUAGAAUACUUUCUAUUUCAUCACUCUGAGUAUCCAAAAGACCUGGUGAAAGUUCAAGAUUUAUUUUUUUAUUUUUAUAUACAUAUAAUGAUUUAUAUUUUUUUCCCAUUAUAGCUGCUUUACAGUGUUCUGUCAAUUGUCCACUGUACAGCAUGGUGACCCAGUUACACAUACAUGUAUACAUUCUUUUUUCUCACAUUAUCAUGCUCCAUCAUAAGUGACCAGACAUAGUUCCCAGUGCUACACAGCAGGAAAGUUUAUGCUGCUUUAUCAAGGAAUUCUUAUGUAAAACUGGCUUAAAAAAAAAAAAGAAUUCUAGAUGGCAGCAAAGAAUACUGUAACUACUAGUAUAGUUUGGUGCCAUUGUCAUGAUUCAUGUUAAAGCAUCAACAUUUUUAGCUCCCAUGGCUUUUGUAGCAUAUAUACAAAUGGAAAAACAGUGUUUAGAAGGGGUCAUUUGCAAAUAACAUAUUAUUAUUAUUAAUUUUGACUUUGCAGACUUCCAGAAAGGGGCUUGGAGACCCUGAGUGUGUCCCUGUCAUUGCACUUUGAGAACCACUCCUUUAGAGUCUGUUAUGGAUUGAAUUACGUGCCCCCAACAGUCAUGUGUUUAAUUAGCAUGUGAACUAAUUCCCAGGACCUCAGAAUGUGAUAGUGGUUUGUGAUUGGGCCUUGACAGAAGUGAUUAAUUUAAAAUGAGCCAGUUAGGGGAGGCCCCAAUCCAGUGUGAUCAGUACUCUUGUAAGUGAUAAUUAGGACACGCAGAGGGACCCACACCAGGGACCAUCAGAGGAAGAGGCAGCCAGAGGAUGACCAUCUGCAAGCCAAGGAGAGAGGCCUCAGAGGAAACCAAUACAGCUGGCACCUUUAUCUUGGAUUUCCAGCCUCCAAAUCUAUGAGAAAAAUUCUGUUUGGUAAGCCACCUAGUCUGUUCCAUUCCGCUGUGGCAGCCCUAGCGGACUAACAGAGUCUUUCCCAUGCCCACCCUGAGCGUCACAUGGCCUCUGUAACAAUUCCCCCUCUUUCUCUGGC